UGAGGAAUAUUGGGCAAUGCCCGCAAGGGUGACCCAGCAACGCCGCGUGGAGGAUGAAUGUCGUAAGAUUGUAAACUCCUGUUAGAGGGGAAGAAUAGUACCGGUUGGACCGGUAUAUGACUGUACCCUCAGAGAAAGCCCCGGCUAACUACGUGCCAGCAGCUGCGGUAAUACGUAGGGGGCAAGCGUUGUCCGGAUUUACUGGGUGUAAAGGGCGCGCAGGCGGGAUAAAAAGUCAGUGGUGAAAUCCUACAGCUUAACUGUAGAACUGCCUUUGAUACUUUUAUUCUUGAGUUCGGGAGAGAGAGACGGAAUUCCAGGUGUAGUGGUGAAAUACGUAGAUAUCUGGAAGAACACCAGUUGCGAAGGCGGUCUCUUGGUCCGACGCUGACGCUGAGGCGCGAAAGCGUGGGGAGCAAACA
rnacentral:rRNA from 1 species